rnacentral:rRNA from 1 species
UACGGGGGGGGCAAGCGUUGUUCGGAAUUACUGGGCGUAAAGGGCUCGUAGGUGGCCAACUAAGUCGGACGUGAAAUCCCUCGGCUUAACCGGGGAACUGCGUCCGAUACUGGUUGGCUUGAGUUUGGGAGAGGGAUGCGGAAUUCCAGGUGUAGCGGUGAAAUGCGCAGAUAUCGGGAGGAACACCAAUGGCGAAGGCAGCUCGCUGGGACGUUACUGACGCUGAGGCACGAAGGCCAGGGGAGCAAACGGG